UCUUUGGUAGUAUAUCGGAUAGUACAUCCGCCUGUCACGCGGAAGAGCGGGGUUCGACUCCCCGCCAGAGAG
rfam:Jaapia argillacea MTCL 33604 unplaced genomic scaffold JAAARscaffold_29, whole genome shotgun sequence.